rnacentral:tRNA from 1 species
UUCCCUGUGGCUCAGUUGGUAGAGCAUGGUGUGUGCAACGCCAGGGUUGUGGGUUCGAUUCCCAUGGGGGGCA